GACGAACGCUGGCGGCGUGCUUAACACAUGCAAGUCGAACGGAAAGGCCCUGCUUUUGUGUGGUGCCCGAGUGGCGAACGGGUGAGUAACCCGUGAGUAACCUGCCCUUGACUUUGGGAUAACUUCAGGAAACUGGGGCUAAUACCGGAUAGGAGCUCCUGCUGCAUGGUGGGGGUUGGAAAGUUUCGGCGGUUGGGGAUGGACUCGCGGCUUAUCAGCUUGUUGGUGGGGUAGUGGCUUACCAAGGCUUUGACGGGUAGCCGGCCUGAGAGGGUGACCGGCCACAUUGGGACUGAGAUACGGACCAGACUCCUACGGGAGGCAGCAGUGGGGAAUAUUGCACAAUGGGCGGAAGCCUGAUGCAGCAACGCCGCGUGCGGGAUGACGGCCUUCGGGUUGUAAACCGCUUUCGCCUGUGACGAAGCGUGAGUGACGGUAAUGGGUAAAGAAGCACCGGCUAACUACGUG
rnacentral:rRNA from 1 species